UACGUAGGGUGCAAGCGUUGUCCGGAAUUAUUGGGCGUAAAGAGCUCGUAGGCGGUUUGUCGCGUCUGCCGUGAAAGUCCGGGGCUCAACUCCGGAUCUGCGGUGGGUACGGGCAGACUAGAGUGAUGUAGGGGAGACUGGAAUUCCUGGUGUAGCGGUGAAAUGCGCAGAUAUCAGGAGGAACACCGAUGGCGAAGGCAGGUCUCUGGGCAUUAACUGACGCUGAGGAGCGAGAGCAUGGGGAGCGAACAGG
rnacentral:rRNA from 1 species